rnacentral:rRNA from 1 species
UACGUAGGUCCCGAGCGUUGUCCGGAUUUAUUGGGCGUAAAGCGAGCGCAGGUGGUUUAUUAAGUCUGGUGUAAAAGGCAGUGGCUCAACCAUUGUAUGCAUUGGAAACUGGUAGACUUGAGUGCAGGAGAGGAGAGUGGAAUUCCACGUGUAGCUGUGAAAUGCGUAGAUAUAUGGAGGAACACCGGUGGCGAAAGCGGCUCUCUGGCCUGUAACUGACACUGAGGCUCGAAAGCGUGGGGAGCAAACAGG